rnacentral:ncRNA from 11 species
GGGCUAUUAGCUCAGUUGGUUAGAGCGCACCCCUGAUAAGGGUGAGGCCCCUGGUUCGAAUCCAGGAUGGCCCA